GGACUACUAGGGUUUCUAAUCCUGUUUGCUCCCCACGCUUUCGCGUCUCAGCGUCAGUAGCCGUCCAGAGGGCCGCCUUCGCCACCGGUGUUCCUCCUGAUAUCUACGCAUUUCACCGCUACACCAGGAAUUCCACCCUCCUCUCCGGUACUCUAGCCUCUCAGUAUCCAGUGCACUUCCGGGGGUGAGCCCCGGGCUUUCACACCAGACUUAAGAAGCCGCCUACACGCGCUUUACGCCCAGUGAUUCCGAACAACGCUCGCACCCUCCGUAUUACCGCGGCUGCUGGCAC
rnacentral:rRNA from 1 species